UACGUAGGGCGCAAGCGUUGUCCGGAAUUAUUGGGCGUAAAGAGCUCGUAGGCGGCCUGUUACGUCUGCUGUGAAAUCCCGGGGCUUAACCCCGGGCGUGCAGUGGAUACGGGCAGGCUGGAGGCAGGCAGGGGAGAACGGAAUUCCCGGUGUAGCGGUGAAAUUCGUAGAUAUCGGGAGGAACACCAGUGGCGAAGGCGGCGACCUGGGCCAAUAUUGACGCUGAGGUGCGAAAGCGUGGGGAGCAAACAGG
rnacentral:rRNA from 1 species